CUCCUUUGACGUUAGCGGCGGACGGGUGAGUAACACGUGGGUAACCUACCUAUAAGACUGGGAUAACUUCGGGAAACCGGAGCUAAUACCGGAUAAUAUUUCGAACCGCAUGGUUCGAUAGUGAAAGAUGGUUUUGCUAUCACUUAUAGAUGGACCCGCGCCGUAUUAGCUAGUUGGUAAGGUAACGGCUUACCAAGGCGACGAUACGUUGCCGACCUGAGAGGGUGAUCGGCCACACUGGAACUGAGACACGGUCCAGACUCCUACGGGACGCAGCAGGG
rnacentral:rRNA from 1 species